rnacentral:lncRNA from 1 species
UCCCACUUUUUACUACCUGAAGCUGCUGCACUCAUAGAAGAAGAGCCUGGGGUCUUAGAACCAGAAGGCUGUGCCACUGACUGCUUGACUUUCCCCUCGAUGAUAGCACUAGCCUCCAUCCUCCUAGCCAUAUCCACUAUGGCAUGGAAGCUCUCCCUAUCUGCGGACUGAAUCAAGGAGGAAUACCUGGAGUGAAGUUUCAUGAUAUACCUCCUUGACUUCUUCUGGUCUGUGUCAAGAGUUUGCCCUGCAAACGGCAACAGCUCCAAGAAUCUGUCGGUGUACUCCUCUACACUCAUUUCCU